rnacentral:rRNA from 1 species
UGGGGAAUAUUGGACAAUGGGCGCAAGCCUGAUCCAGCCAUGCCGCGUGGGUGAAGAAGGCCUUCGGGUUGUAAAGCCCUUUUGUUGGGAAAGAAAAGCAGUCGGUUAAUACCCGAUUGUUCUGACGGUACCCAAAGAAUAAGCACCGGCUAACUUCGUGCCAGCAGCCGCGGUAAUACGAAGGGUGCAAGCGUUACUCGGAAUUACUGGGCGUAAAGCGUGCGUAGGUGGUUUGUUAAGUCUGAUGUGAAAGCCCUGGGCUCAACCUGGGAAUUGCAUUGGAUACUGGCAGGCUGGAGUGCGGUGGAGGGUAGUGGAAUUCCCGGUGUAGCAGUGAAAUGCGUAGAGAUCGGGAGGAACAUCCGUGGCGAAGGCGACUACCUGGACCAGCACUGACACUGAGGCACGAAAGCGUGGGGAGCAAACAGGAUUAGAUACCCUGGUAGUCCACGCCCUAAACGAUGCGAACUGGAUGUUGGGUUCAAUUAGGAACUCAGUAUCGAAGCUAACGCGUUAAGUUCGCCGCCUGGGGAGUACGGUCGCAAGACUGAAACUCAAAUGAAUUGAC